AGGCUUUGUUUCUUGAUUACUGAUAUAUUGUGUAACUUGAUACCUAUAUUUUUGGGAUGGAGGGAACUUCUGGUUUACUUUUUCUUGGAAGUUUUAGGAGGCUGCCAAUUGUCUCAUGUCAAACAUAUCUAGCUAAGUUGCAGCUACUCAAUUUGGUGAACCUGCUGAUUCUGUCUUAUU